rnacentral:misc_RNA from 1 species
CAGGCUGGAUUAGGAGAGCCAACAUGGCCAGUUAGGUUGUCACCCUCAUCCAUGGCGCUUAUAACACAAGAAGUCUCAGUCAUUCCAUAUCCUUCAGUUACACGGCCACCAAAGCAGAUCUUCAAGAACUCCAUGACAUCAGGAGACAAGGGUGAAGCACCUGAUGCCAUGAAACGAACUCGACCACCUAGUCUUUCCCUUAUCUUAUUGAACACCAAUCUGUCCCACAUUGGAGAUGGA